CUGCUGCCUUCCGUAGGAGUCUGGUCCGUGUCUCAGUACCAGUGUGGGGGACCUUCCUCUCAGAACCCCUACGCAUCGUCGCCUCGGUGGGCCGUUACCCCGCCGACUAGCUAAUGCGCCGCAUGGCCAUCCGCAGCCGAUGAAUCUUUAACCGCCGAGGGAUGCCCCCUCUGCGGUGUUACGCGGUAUUAGACGGAAUUUCUUCCGCUUACUCCCCUGCUGCGGGCAGGUUCCAUACGUGUUACUCACCCGUGCGCCGGUCGCCGG
rnacentral:rRNA from 1 species